rnacentral:rRNA from 1 species
AUUGAACGCUGGCGGCAGGCCUAACACAUGCAAGUCGAACGAGAGGCGGACGGGUGAGUAAUGUCGGGGAACCUGCCUGAUGGAGGGGGAUAACUACUGGAAACGGUAGCUAAUACCGCAUACCAUCAGAUGUGCCCAGAUGGGAUUAGCUAGUUGGUGGGGUAACGCCUCACCAAGGCGACGAUCCCUAGCUGGUCUGAGAGGAUGACCGGCCACACGGGGACUGAGACACGGUCCAGACUCCUACGGGAGGCAGCAGUGGGGAAUAUUGCACAAUGGGCGCAAGUCUGAUGCAGCCAUGCCGCGUGUGUGAAGAAGGCCUUCGGGUUGUAAAGUACUUUCAGCGGGGAGGCGUUACCCGCAGAAGAAGCACCGGCUAACUCCGUGCCAGCAGCCGCGGUAAUAC